UACGAAGGGUGCAAGCGUUGUUCGGAAUCACUGGGCGUAAAGCGCACGUAGGCGGGUUCGUGUGUCGAUUGUGAAAGCCCCGGGCUCAACCUGGGAAUUGCAGUCGAAACUGCGGAUCAUGAAUACCUGAGAGGGUGGGGGAAUUGCUGGUGGAGAAGUGAAAUUCGUAGAUAUCAGCAGGAACACCUGAGGCGAAGGCGCCUACCUGGCAGUGUAUUGACGCUGAGGUGCGAAAGCGCGGGGAGCAAACAGG
rnacentral:rRNA from 1 species